CAUCAAUCUGUGGCGUGAGUGAGUUUGCAACUUUGCAUUGCUGGACUUUGAUUCUUCAACGCUUCAAGUGGCAAACCAACACGUGGCGCUUCAACUAUUGGCUCGAGUUUAGAGAAAUAUUUGGUGAGUUGAGGAAAACACUUUUGAAGACAAUGACUUUAAAUUUGUAAAAUAUAUGGGAGUAUGCCAUCAUGUUUUGACAUUCUUAUUUCGCAAGUUUGUAAAAUAUAUGACUCCUUUAGUGGAUUGUUCUAUUUUACCUUUA